rnacentral:rRNA from 1 species
UACGGAGGGGCUAGCGUUCUUCGGAAUUACUGGGCGUAAAGCGCACGUAGGCGGCUUUGUAAGUAAGAGGUGAAAGCCCGGAGCUCAACUCCGGAACUGCCUUUUAGACUGCAUCGCUUGAAUCCAGGAGAGGUGAGUGGAAUUCCGAGUGUAGAGGUGAAAUUCGUAGAUAUUCGGAAGAACACCAGUGGCGGAGGCGGCUCACUGGACUGGUAUUGACGCUGAGGUGCGAAAGCGUGGGGAGCAAACAGG